rnacentral:rRNA from 1 species
GUGAGACAGUUCGGUCUCUAUCUGUUGCGAGCGUAAGAAACUUGAGAAGAUCUGACUUUAGUACGAGAGGACCGAGUUGGACUAACCGCUGGUGUACCAGUUGUCUCGCCAGGGGCAUUGCUGGGUAGCUAUGUUGGGAAGGGAUAAGCGCUGAAAGCAUCUAAGCGCGAAACCCACUUCAAGAUGAGGUUUCUUUAAAGGGACGUUAUAGAUGAUGACGUUGAUAGGC